AAUUGGAUCUACGCUUGGAGCAAUAGUAGUUUUGACGAUCGUUCCAAUACCAAUAUUGAUAGCUUAUUGUUUAUGUAAACAUAGAUCUACUACUCAUGUUGUACAAAGAAAUGGCAAAAAUCAAGGACAGGAUCAAGGGGAUACUAAACUCUAAAUAAGCA
rnacentral:lncRNA from 1 species